AAUUUAUAUAUAUAUAUAUAUAUAUAUAUAUAUAUAUAUAUAUAUAUAUAUAUAUAUAUAUAUAUAUAUGUAUAUAUACGAUUAUGGGAAAUGAAAUCUGAUUAACAAGGGUGUAGAAGCACCUAACCCUGACUGUCGAAAACAGAUAUUUCCUAAAAAGUUAUAUCUCAAUUCUGAUUGGUUGAUUGGAAUGUUAAAAAUGCAAAAAAAUAAAUAAAAAAAUAAUAAUAAUAAUUACAACCAGUGCAAAUAACUCAACAACAGAUUAUUAAAUGACUAAACAAUAAGACAAGCGGUCUGAGGAUAUGCAGCGAAUUCAAGAUUUGGAAACUAACCCAAGCACUGCAAUUCAAAUGCACAGUCACGUUUCUUGAGCAAAUGAAAACAGCGGGUUCUUGUAAUCCAGUGGAAGCCUAUCCAAACAGCUCCAUAAGCGAUACCUCACUGAAGGAGGGACUUCUCAGAGCCUGCGUAGGUGAGUGAGCGAGUGCCUACUUCACAGUUACUUAGAGCCUGGGACUACACUUCCACUUAUUCCUCCGGAUUUUCAAAUUGGUAUUUGCAAGAAGGAAAACAAUCACGCAGACCGCACGCGCACUCGAUCCGCUCCAGACGCCAUGAAGAAUCCCGUGUACUGGGUCGCCCUGGCUGGAAUAUCCAUCGCUUUGAUUCAACAAGGUAAGAACAACAAAUGUGGCCCAUCAAAUAUAGGACGCUGAUGGUUUCCAUGCAUCUGGGUGUCAGUAGCUAAGUGCCUUGCUUUACUAUUUUGCACAGCUUGAAUUGCAAUUUUAUGCUUGUGUGUGUGUGUGUC
rnacentral:lncRNA from 1 species